GACUCACUCGCCCGAAAACUCUUUGAAUCGAAAGAUCAGUGCCCAGAAAAUGUAUUGCCCCGAAGGAUCACUCGCCAGAAAAUACCGCCCACUACCUCCUGAUUGGCCGACUGACCAAAAGACAAUUGUCUGUCAUCUUUGUCUAACCAUUUAUGAAGUUUGACAGAAGUUAGGCACAGAUUUUUGAUAUGAUUGUACAAGUUGGAACAAAUAUGGGGAUUUAAUUUUAAAUUUUGUACAGCUGACAGCUGACCAUAGAUAACCUAACCUGUUUGUUGAUAUUUACAUAACCGUUACAGUCGGAGCCGGAAACUUUCUGAUUUUUAUUCGACUUAUUACACUAAUUAAAUGAGACCAUUGAUAUUGAUACUUUGAAAGCAAUCUGAUGAUGACAUGCAUUAAGAGUUCUUCUUUUGGGUACAUCAAACUUUCCAUUUUCCAAAAAUAAAAGUAAUAUUAGAUGAUCGAAAUACUCGAAAAUCUGGAGCAUUCUCAAAUAACAAAACUAAAAUUUUAAAUGAUUAUCAAAUGUGAUUUAAACCAAUACAUUUUAUUGAGGAGUAGAAUGAGUAUCUGUUUUUGAAGUGGUCAGUGAGAGUCUGCAAUCUCAAGUUCCCGAUACUUAUCACUUUCAAUCCCUCAAGAAAAUGCAGAAUUUUCUUGAAUUGAAUAAAUUAUAUCGAUUACAAGAAACAAUGUAUGAAAACGUUAUAACAUUCUCCUCAAAUAUGAUUUCCCAAAGAAGAUAAUAUAUGAAUACUGAUGGAAGAAUCAAUUUUGGCCCGCAAGAUGCCUUUUAAUAUAAAAUAUUUCAGCUUAUUUCGUGAAAAGUUAUUAUUCGUACAAUUCACUGCUAGGGAGAAAGGGUCUUUUACUGGAGCUCUUUUAUCAUACACCAAAUUGUGUGGUAUCCCGUCACAUUAAACUCUACUAAAACUUCAUCUCAUACUGUUGCUUUACUCAUUGUUGGAUGUUGAACAUUGUUAUGCUUAUUAUCAAAAAAAUAUAUCGUGGGCAAACAAUCAAAACCCACUAAAUCCCUUUUUUUUUUUGUAAAAUGCCAUUUUAUCACCUGUAAAAGAUUUUUAACUCCAAAACCAUCUUUCCAAGCAAUCUAUAACCUUCAUAAUUUACAUCAAGCCCUCAAUAGUCUAACAUUCAACAGUAAAAACCUAUCAAGUCCACUUAGGGGAAUUCUCAGAAUGCAAUGGGUUAUGAUUGUAUGCUCACGAUAUAUAGAUAGAUGUAAUCAAUCAAUCAAUCAAUGAUCGAAGUAACAUUUCAUUUAUGUCAACAUUACACAUUAAGCAUGGAUUUCACAAAACUCCCAUUGUCCGAUCAACAAUAUGACAGUCCCUCGGUUUCCUAAACCAAAUCACUGUUACUUUUGCAUUUCUGAAUAUUUGGAAGGAGUAUCAAUUGAGAAUCAUUGAAUGGAGGUGUAUAUAGAUCAUAAUUGGAUGCCAGAAUGAUAUUCUGAAUGCUCAUGACUGAAUUAUCAAUUGCAAAGAAAUUGACGUUUAUAUGUCAAGCAAGCUUUGAUUCCCAGAUCAAGCUUUGUGAAACCGGGGAUAAGGCUUACAUUAAUUGUGAAUGAGCUGUAAACAGUGAAUUAUUGAUUUGAGACUGUAGGCUUCACAGUUUCAUUUUUUCCGAGUACAUUCUUGAUAUAUCAAUUCAUAUUUCAUGUAUUUUCAAGUGAAAUAGAAAUUUUUCAUAUC